rnacentral:tRNA from 1 species
GGCUGUGUAGUUCAACGGUUAGAACAGAGCACUCAUAACGCUCAAACGGUGGUUCGACUCCACCCAUAGCCA